rnacentral:rRNA from 1 species
UACGUAGGGGGCAAGCGUUGUCCGGAUUUAUUGGGCGUAAAGAGCGUGUAGGCGGCUUCACAGGUCCGCUGUGAAAACUCGAGGCUCAACCUCGAGCUGUCGGUGGAAACCGUGUGGCUAGAGUCCGGAAGAGGAGAGUGGAAUUCCCGGUGUAGCGGUGAAAUGCGCAGAUAUCGGGAAGAACACCCGUGGCGAAGGCGGCUCUCUGGGACGGUACUGACGCUGAGACGCGAAAGCGUGGGAGCGAACAGG